CCUACGGGAGGCAGCAGUGGGGAAUUUUGGACAAUGGGGGCAACCCUGAUCCAGCAAUGCCGCGUGGGUGAAGAAGGCCUUCGGGUUGUAAAGCCCUUUGUCAGGGAAGAAAAGGAGGCGGCUAAUACCUUGUGGAAGACGGUACCGAAGAAUAGCACCGGCUACUUGG
rnacentral:rRNA from 1 species